rnacentral:rRNA from 1 species
GAUGAACGCUGGCGGCGUGCCUAAUACAUGCAAGUCGAGCGAACAGACGAGGAGCUUGCUCCACUGACGUUAGCGACGGACGGGUGAGUAACACGUGGAUAACCUACCUAUAAGACUGGGCUAACUUCGGGAAACCGGAGCUAAUACCGGAUAAUAUAUUGAACCGCAUGGUUCAAUAGUGAAAGACGGUUUUGCUGUCACUUAUAGAUGGAUCCGCGCCGCAUUAGCUAGUUGGUAAGGUAACGGCUUACCAAGGCAACGAUGCGUAGCCGACCUGAGAGGGUGAUCGGCCACACUGGAACUGAGACACGGUCCAGACUCCUACGGGAGGCAGCAGUAGGGAAUCUUCCGCAAUGGGCGAAAGCCUGACGGAGCAACGCCGCGUGAGUGAUGAAGGUCUUCGGAUCGUAAAACUCUGUUAUUAGGGAAGAACAAAUGUGUAAGUAACUAUGCACGUCUUGACGGUACCUAAUCAGAAAGCCACGGCUAACUACGUG